GGAAAUUGGUUAAUAUUCCAAUACUUCUAUGUAAUGCGAUGAGAGGACGGAGAAGGUUAAGUCAGCCUGGCGUUGGUUGUCCAGGUGGAAGGUUGUAGGCAUGUAUCUUAGGCAAAUCCGGGGUACUCUAUGCUGAGAGCUGAUAGCAAGCUGUACUUGUACAGUGAAGUGGCUGAUACCAUGCUUCCAGGAAAAGUCUCUAAGCUUCAGUUACAUAGGAAUCGUACCCGAAACCGACACAGGUGGUCAGGUCGAGUAGACCAA
rnacentral:rRNA from 1 species